UGCACGUUUCGCACAUGCUCAAAACUUCUUGGCCGAAAACUCGAAAUUUUAGUGCCGUCAGUCGCCGGUCAGCCAGUUGCAGCGCUACCGGCGUAACGCGGUAACAAGCACCUCCAUAUGAUUGCCACCUCUCUUAUUUUCCUUACUCUAUGCUGUGAUGCUAACCUCUAUCAACAAAUCAACAAAACAGGAAAUCUGAAAAUAAACAGCUGUUCGCUUAGAGUCCGCGCAUGCGUGUUAAAUGGAUCGUAUUCCUACGUUUGGCCGCCAGUACCACACAUCCCAACACGAGUGGCUCAUCGCCAGCGUUGCCAGGUCCGACAAUCGAGUUUCGGCUCUCUGGUUUCGGUAGAUAAGCUCGACACUUUUCGAAUGUGACGAUGGCGCGAGAAUAACUGUUCCGAGUACAUCGAAAAUUUGGCUCUGGCGGUGUCCAAGCCGUAGCGGCAACGCUGCCAUCGAGAUGACCGUAGAAUGUUUUUGAACCGUGAAUUUUGAACGUGAAUUUAGCUCAAAGUUUAUGAUAGUACCCCAGAGAAACAGUACCUAAAAUAAUUCAGCUAUGGUAAUCUCAGAUUCUAAAUAAAACAACUUAAUAAUU